UGAGGAAUUUUGCGCAAUGGGGGAAACCCUGACGCAGCAACGCCGCGUGGGCGAUGAAGGCCUUCGGGUCGUAAAGCCCUGUCGGGCGGGAAGAACGCUCUUGGUCGAAGGACUGGGGGGUGACGGUACCACCAGAGGAAGCACCGGCUAACUCCGUGCCAGCAGCCGCGGUCAUACGGAGGGUGCAAGCGUUAUUCGGCAUUACUGGGCGUAAAGGGCGUGCAGGCGGGAGAGCAAGUCUGAUGUGAAAGCCCGGGGCUUAACCCCGGAAGGGCAUUGGAAACUGCUUUUCUUGAG
rnacentral:rRNA from 1 species